GGGGUUGUGGCUCAGUGGUAGAGUGCUCACCUCGCACAUGAGAGACCCUCGGUUCGAUCUUCAGCCCCA
rnacentral:tRNA from 1 species